rnacentral:lncRNA from 1 species
AUAUGAAAAAUAUGGAGCAUAUACUAUUGUCACGUUCGGUGGUAUAGCUUGAAAUGGGAUGAUAUUAACUGGCCCUUGAAUAUUAAUACUGGAAUUGGCCACUAUUUCUAAUAUCCAUUGUCGUAUUACAUGAAGUCUUUUUUGAGAAUGCACCUAGCACCUGGCUGUGGAAGGUAAAAAAAAAUUGCAACAAAAACUCUUUACAAUCUAAUAGGAUUAUAGAGAAUUUAUAAUUAAACAUUAAUAAUCAUAAUCAAACAUUAAGCAAGCUCAAUUAAAUUUUAUUGAAGUUAUAAAAGAAACACAAGGAAAUCCUAAAGAAAUAUAAAAGAAUAUUAAAGAAAACUUAGUCAAAUCCUAACAAAAAUCUAAUAGAACCUUAAAUUCUAACCAAAUCCUAAUCCUAAUCCAACUGUAAUCAAACCCUAAAUAAAUCCUAAAUCCUAAACCAAAUCCUAAUCAAAUCUUAAUCAAAUCCUAAACCUUAAAUCAAUCUCAAAUCAAAUCCUAAAUCAAACCCUAAAUC